UUUUAACAUCUGACUAUCUCACGAGACUGUGUGUCCUAACAGUGCUUGUAGUCUCAUGAGAUAGCCAGAUGUUUAAA
ensembl:miRNA